AAAUGACACCGUGCUUUUUUAUCUUUUCCUUCAAUUCUGAAGAGGUAUGGUCUCAAUUUCAUACACACAUGGCAGGGACCACACCACUUUCCUCAUCCUACAUGGCGCCUACAUCAGCAAGCAAAUCCAGAAGCUUCUAGAAGCUUCUGGAAGAGGUUAAGGUGGCACCGAAGAUGCUUCUCCAGACAAAAAGGACGACACGUGUCACCAUUAAUCGAACGCCAUGUAGACCUGCGACACAACCUGGGGGCAGACCGACAGCUGCGGUACGAAUUCUCCUGCAUGGACAAAUAACGGCGCGCCACGUGGACCACUAUCCUAACCACAGCAGAGGAGACCAAGAUGAUAUUCCCCUUGGUCGGACAGAUGGCGCCCGGUAACAGCUGGCAAGGUCUCUCCUCCCUCCUUCACCCUCCGGCUAUAAAUAGGACCAUUCAUCAUUCAGGAUCUCGGUCUUAGACGAGCGAAAAAGGAGAUUGAACCCACAUAAGAGACAACCCAGCUAGUUAACCUUGGUAUUAACCAGUGUUUCAUCAAAUUCGUACGUUUUGUAUGUUAGGUUUAUUUGUAUUUGAUCUUUAUCCAAAAAACGUAAUUUAUAUAUAUGACUUAUAUAUGAUAUUGUAAUGUGAUGCCAAAUAUGACAUAAAAUGGUGGGUGAUCUUCA